rnacentral:rRNA from 1 species
UACGAAGGGGACUAGCGUUGUUCGGAUUUACUGGGCGUAAAGCGCGCGUAGGCGGAUCGCUAAGUCAGGGGUGAAAUCCCGAGGCUCAACCUCGGAACUGCCUUUGAUACUGGGGAUCUCGAGUCCGGGAGAGGUGAGUGGAACUGCGAGUGUAGAGGUGAAAUUCGUAGAUAUUCGCAAGAACACCAGUGGCGAAGGCGGCUCACUGGCCCGGAACUGACGCUGAGGUGCGAAAGCGUGGGGAGCAACAGGG